rnacentral:rRNA from 1 species
GUAGGGUGCGAGCGUUAUCCGGAAUCAUUGGGGCGUAAAGAGCUCGUUGGCGGUUCAGCAAGUCGGCUGUGAAAUUCCGAGGGCUCAACCUCGGAACUGCAGUCGAUACUGCUGUGACUCGAGUCCGGUAGAGGAGAAUGGAAUUCAGGGUGUAGCGGUGAAAUGCGCAGAUAUCCUGAGGAACACCAGUAGCGAAGGCGGUUCUCUGGGCCGGUACUGACGCUGAGGAGCGAAAGCGUGGGUAGCAAACAGGAUUAGAUACCCUGGUAGUCCACGCCGUAAACGUUGGACACUAGGUGUGGCGUUCCGACCAACGGGUGCCGUGCCGAAGCUAACGCAUUAAGUGUCCCGCCUGGGGAGUACGGCCGCAAGGCUA